CCUGUUCGCUCUUUGUUCUUCCUCGCUUGUGCUCCUUGCCAACUUAGAAAAUGCCGCCUUCUUCACCUCCACUUUUCCUUCGACUACAUCGUUCCACCACCAGUCACCCUGAUGUCUGCCUGAACAGCCCUUGGCUACCCCGAGCACAUCCCAUGCUACCUCCCUAACCAAGUUCACCGUCUCUGACCACAUAGCGUCCUCUUCCCCAGAACUUUGCCAAGCUCCGCCCUCUGCUAACCUCCUCUCCAACUCAUGCGCUUUCUCCUUAGUCAAAAUCUGCGGUUGUCCUCUAGCACCCCUCCUCUUCCUCUUCACCCAGAGACCGACAUCCAUCACUAGGAGUCUAUGAAGAGU
rnacentral:lncRNA from 1 species